CCGGUUAGGGCCUUGUGGGGUGUAAAACGUGUAGCUAGCCAUUAUUGAUGUUUAAUAUUUGUGACUGUCGAGUGGUCUUUCGAAAAUAUAAAAACAUUUUUUUAUGGUUUAAGGGGGAUAAUUAAACACUUGGCGGUGGUGCCGGGGCAGAUCCUGGGGUCACUGAUGCCUGGUUGCAAGAAUAUUUUUGGUGCCCACUUCCUUGUGGGUGUGGCUAUAUUGCUAGCUCCUCCCCUUUACAAACAUAACACUUCUAACCACACCCAUUUUCUAUGGAAAUCACUCCACCUCCAACCCAGGUCACAUGUCACUCACUUCCUAUAGUGCCAACUUUGCCCCCAAAUAGCUAAAUUGUGCCCAGCUUCCCAGUGCCAACUUUGUCCCAAUAUAGCCAAUCAGUGCCAUCUCUCUGUGCCAAUAUAGCUAAUCAGUGCCAUUUCUGUGUCCCAAUAUAGCUAAUCAGUGCCAUCUCUCUGUCCCAAUAUAGCUAAUCGGUGCCAUUUCUGUGUCCCAAUAUAGCUAAUCAGUGCCAUCUCUCUGUCCCAAUAUAGCUAAUCAGUGCCAUCUCUCUCUCCCAAUAUAGCUAAUCGGUGCCAUUUCUGUGUCCCAAUAUAGCUAAUCAGUGCCAUCUCUCUCUCCCAAUAUAGCUAAUCAGUGCCAUCUCUCUCUCCCAAUAUAGCUAAUCGGUGCCAUCUCUGUGUCCCAAUAUAGCUAAUCAGUGCCAUCUCUCUGUCCCAAUAUAGCUAAUCAGUGCCAUCUCUCUCUCCCAAUAUAGCUAAUCAGUGCCAUCUCUCUCUCCCAAUAUAGCUAAUCGGUGCCAUCUCUGUGUCCCAAUAAAGCUAAUCAGUGCCAUCUCUCUCUCCCAAUAUAGCUAAUCGGUGCCAUCUCUGUGUCCCAAUAUAGCU